CAGCCUCAGGGAUCAUUUCUACAGUUUAUUACUAGAGAAGUUUCUCUGAUCAUGUAGAGUAUGGAAAUCAUGAGGAGGAGGCGCAGUACUCUCUCCUGAGCGUGAAGCUGGCUCUUGGUGUUGCUUUGCUGCAACUGCCACUUGCCUUUGAUUAUUGUUCCUGCUUUUCUUUGAGGGUCCUGGAGGGAGAGGACACAGUCGGAAUAAA